rnacentral:lncRNA from 1 species
AUCCUACGAAUCUGAACGAAGCUUGAAUUGUGAUCAACUCUUUGAUCCUUUUCUUGAUCUUUUUCUUCUAUUCUUUUUUUAUUUUUAUUUUCUUGAUUAUAAAGCAACAAAGAUCUGAAAAUCAAUAAGCAAGGAGGGAUGCCCAAGCUCCUCUUGGGCAUGGAGAUAGAGGAUGCCCAAUGCCUUUGGGCAGUGGAACCAAAUGGGAGA